GUCAUCUUGACAUACAAUAUGUGCUGUGCUAUGAACUCUAAGAUCUCAGAUUCAUACACGUUUGAUUGUAAGAAUAUUGUUCUAUGAAUGUGAGAUGUGUUCUCAUUGGCGGGUGAGGGUUUUACAGCGAGGGCUCAUGCAGUUCGGUUCUCCCUGCAGUGUUGUGGUAGCAGCAUGGCUCUGCAUGCACCAGUGCUGAAGAAAGAUAUCAUGGCUGUGUGCCAAUAUUUCAUGUGGGUCGGGGAUUACAUUCAACAGCAAUGUACAUUAGGGUACACCAAUUUGAAGAGAGGAGGCAUCCAAAAAUGUAAAUUCUGUCAUCAUAUACUCAUUUUUAUAUUAUAUUCCAGUUUUAUAAUAAUACAGUAUUACAGUAUAAUACUGUUUUUGUGUCACAGAAUGUAGUUUGUAGAUUCUAAAUUUAUGUGUGUGUGUUUGUUCCAGAGAGAAAAGAAAGUCCUGCAGGUUUGGAAUGGCAUGAGGGUGAGUACAUUACAUAAUUUUCAUUUUCCUUUUAAUUACUGCAAUUGUGUCACUAAACGAGAUGGCAAUAACAUCUAUCUCACAUCUCACAACAAAGUAGCAAGGACAGCUCAGCUAGUACCUGAUUAAAUCUAGACUUUAAUUCAUAUUGAUUUACUAGAUGCAUAAUUUUCAACCCACCCUUGCCAUAUUUGCGACAAAUAACAUAUGGGGUCAGGAGCGCAUCAGUGCAGGCUAAUGUCAUGCUGUAUUGAUUCCUCCGCAGUUUGCUUUAUCGAGGGGCUGACUCUCGGGAAUAGGCUGGGCUGUGCGCGCACUGAUAGAGGUGCUGUUCUUCAUCAUUGGUUCUACACCUUCCCCACCCCCACGUCCAUAUGAAUUAUUCAUUAUAUGCUAAUGAGCUUCUCUGGAAUUUCAAGGGCCUCUUUAAUAGCUGUUCAAUGUCCAGCGGUAGCAGUGGGGCAGGACUGGGUGACAAAGACAAGCUGACAGUGAUGGUCUUGGCAGAUUCUGUGCCCUGCACGGGGCCCCUAAUACAGUGGCUGUCCUGAAGGCCCUGUAUCUGAUGAGCUGAUCCAUGCUGCUCUGUCA
ensembl:lncRNA